AUACUGUCUCUAGNAAAUUUAUUAUUANNAUUNACUUUUAAGUUAAAAGGCUUAAAUUUUACUUAAAGACGAGAAGACNNNNUAGAGUUUUAUACCUAUAAUUAUAAUGAGUACUUGGUUAUUUUAUUUUCUUGUAUGAUUAGGUAUUUGGUUGGGGUGACUUAAAGAUUAAAUAAACUCUUUAAAUUUAUAAUCAUUGAUUUGUGAAUUUAUAAUCUAAUUUUUUAAAGUUAAAAUAAAUUACCUUAGGGAUAACAGCGUAAUUUCUUUUUAGAGUUCUUAUUGAAAGAGAAGUUUGCGACCUCG
rnacentral:rRNA from 1 species